CACAGAGACUGCAAGCGUUAUUCGGAUUCACUGGGCGUAAAGGGUGCGCAGGCGGCCAAGUGUGUGAGGCGUGAAAGCCUGGAGCUUAACUCCAGAAUUGCACCUCAAACUACUUGGCUAGAGCAUUGGAGAGGGUAGCAGAAUUCAUGGUGUAGCAGUGAAAUGCGUAGAUAUCUGGAGGAACACCGGUGGCGAAGGCGGCGUUCUGGACUGCAACUGACACUGAUGAACGAAAGCCAGGGGAGCAAACGGG
rnacentral:rRNA from 1 species